rnacentral:rRNA from 1 species
CCUACGGGAGGCAGCAGUGGGGAAUAUUGGACAAUGGGCGAAAGCCUGAUCCAGCAAUGCCGCGUGAGUGAUGAAGGCCUUAGGGUUGUAAAGCUCUUUUACCAGGGAUGAUAAUGACAGUACCUGGAGAAUAAGCUCCGGCUAACUCCGUGCCAGCAGCCGCGGUAAUACGGAGGGAGCUAGCGUUGUUCGGAAUUACUGGGCGUAAAGCGUACGUAGGCGGUUAUUCAAGUCAGAGGUGAAAGCCCGGGGCUCAACCCCGGAACUGCCUUUGAAACUAGAUAGCUAGAAUCUUGGAGAGGUUAGUGGAAUUCCGAGUGUAGAGGUGAAAUUCGUAGAUAUUCGGAAGAACACCAGUGGCGAAGGCGACUAACUGGACAAGUAUUGACGCUGAGGUACGAAAGCGUGGGGAGCAAACAGGAUUAGAUACCCUGGUAGUCCACGCCGUAAACGAUGAUAACUAGCUNUUCGGGCACUUGGUGCCUGAGUGCGCGNGCUACGACAUUAAGUUAUACGUCCGUCGGGAGGUACGGUACGCGAAGAAAGUUAAAACGUUAAAAGUUAAGAAGUUAGACGGUAACGUGUAGACGUUAGUACGAAGGACGACGACGAGGGAGGAGG